rnacentral:rRNA from 1 species
UAAUACGGGGGGGGCAAGCGUUGUUCGGAUUUACUGGGCGUAAAGGGCGCGUAGGCGGUUUGUUAAGUCGGAUGUGAAAACUGUGGGCUCAACCCACAGCCUGCAUCCGAUACUGGCAGACUAGAGUGCGAGAGGGGGAGGCGGAAUUCCUGGUGUAGCGGUGAAAUGCGUAGAUAUCAGGAGGAACACCGGCGGCGAAGGCGGCCUUCUGGAUCGCAACUGACGCUGAGGCGCGAAAGCUAGGGGAGCAAACAGGAUUAGAUACCCUGGUAGUCCUAGCCCUAAACGAUGGAUACUUGGUGUGGGGGGAGUUGAGUCUUUCCGUGCCGGAGCUAACGCGUUAAGUAUCCCGCCUGGGGAGUACGGUCGCAAGGCUG